AUGGUUGCUGAUGGCAUUUUAAUUUUGGGUCCUUUGACAGUUACAUCAGGGCCUUCAAUGUCAAUCUCUGGUUUGUUGAUGUCAAUGCUGGGUGCUUUCACGUCAAUGUUUGCUUUGGGAAGGUUUACGUCAACAUCUGGCAUUUCAACUUUGGGACCUUUCAAUCCAAUUGAUGGCAGGUUGAUAGUUGGCAGAUGUAUUCCACCUUUUGGACCUGUCACAUCAACCUUUGGACCCUUGAUGCCAACAUCCAAUCCCUUCAUCUCACCCUCCAUCUUUGGAGCCGUCACAUCCAUAUCACCUUUGAGUUUGGGGCCCUUCACAUUGAAGUCCACAGCUGGCAUUGAGAUCUUUGGCCCUGAGAUGUGUGGCAUGUUGAAUUUUGGGCUUUUGAUUUUGCCACCGGGACUGUUGAUGUCAACUUCUGGACCCUCAACAUCUAACUCAGGUGCCUUGAUGUUGAUGUCAGCUUCUGGGAGUUCAACAUCUGUGCCCGUGACGUUUGGGCCCUUUAUCCCAAAUGAUGGCAUUUUAAUCUUUGGCAUUUUGAAGCCUGCUUUAGAACCAUCAAUGCCAAUAUCUGGACCUUCAAUGUCAACCUCUGGAGCUUUGAUAUCACCUUCAAAUUUUGGAAGUGAGACAUCGACAUCACCCUCGACUUUUGGACCUUUUAGGUUGAAGCCAAACUCGGGCAUCUUUGGUCCUUUGAUAGUGGGCAUUUUAAAUUUGGGUCCUUCGACAUUUACAUCAGGGCCUUCAAUGUCAAUCUCUGGUUUUUUUAUGUCAAUGCUGGGUGCUUUCACGUCAAUGUUUGCUUUGGGAAGAUUUACGUCAACAUCUGGCAUUUCAACUUUGGGACCUUUCAAUCCAAUUGAUGGCAUGUUGAUAGUUGGCAGAUGUAUUCCACCUUUUGGACCUGUCACAUCAACCUUUGGACCCUUGACGCCAACAUCCAGUCCCUUCAUCUCACCCUCCAUCUUUGGAACCGUCACUUCCAUAUCACCUUUGAGUUUGGGGCCCUUUACAUUGAAGUCCACGGCUGGCAUUGAGAUCUUUGGCCCCGAGAUGUGUGGCAUGUUGAAUUUUGGUCCCUUGAUUUUGCCACCAGGACUUUUGAUGUCAACUUCUGGACCCUCAACAUCUAAUUCAGGUGCCUUGAUAUCAAUGUCGCCUUCUGGGAGUUCAACGUCCUUGCCUGUUCUUGUUCCAAAUGAUGGAAUUUUAAACUUAGGUAUUUUGAACCCUCCUUUGGAAGUGUCAGUGUUGAUAUCUGGACCUUCAAUAUCAACGUCUGGAGCUUUGAUAUCACUUUCAACCUUUGGAAGCGAGACAUCUAAAUCACCCUCGACUUUUGGACCUUUUAAGUUGAACCCAAACUCUGGCAUCUUUGGUCCUUUGAUGGUGGGCAUCUUAAUUUUGGGUCCUUUGACAUUUACAUCAGGGCCUUCAAUGUCAAUCUCUGGUUUGUCGAUGUCAAUGUUGGGUGCUUUCAUGUCAAUGUUUGCUUUGGGAAGGUUUACGUCAACAUCUGGCAUUUCAACUUUGGGACCUUUCAAUCCAAUUGAUGGCAUGUUGAUAGUUGGCAGAUGUAUUCCACCUUUUGGACCUGUCACAUCAACCUUUGGACCCUUGAUGUCAACAUCCAGUCCCUUCAUCUCACCCUCCAUCUUUGGAACCGUCACAUCCAUAUCACCUUUAAGUUUGGUGCCCUUCACACCAAAGUCCACGUCUGGCAUUGAGAUCUUUGGCCCCGAGAUGUGUGGCAUGUUGAAUUUUGGUCCCUUGAUUUUACCACCAGGACUUUUAAUGUCAACUUCUGGACCCUCAACAUCUAAUUCAGGUGCCUUGAUGUUGAUGUCAGCUUCUGGGAGUUCAACAUCUGUGCACGUGACAUUUGGGCCCUUUCUCCCAAAUGAUGGCAUUUUAAUCUUUGGCAUUUUGAACCCUCCUGAAGAACCCUCAAUGUUCAUAUCUGGACCCUCAACGUCUAUUUCAGGUGCCUUGAUAUCAAUGUCACCUUCUGGGAGUUCAACAUUCAUGCCUGUUUUCAUCCCAGAUGAUGGAAUUUUAAACUUUGGCAUUUUAAACCCUCCUGAAGAACCCUCAAUGUUCAUAUCUGGACCCUCAAUGUCUAUUUCAGGUGCCUUGAUAUCAAUGUCACCUUCUGGGAGUUCAACAUCCUUGCCUGUUUUCAUCCCAAAUGAUGGAAUUUUAAACUUUGGCAUUUUGAACCCUCCUUUGGAAGUUUCAGUGUUGAUGUCUGGACCUUCAAUAUCAACGUCUGGAGCUUUGAUAUCACCUUCAAUCUUUGGAAGUGAGACAUCUACAUCACCCUCGACUUUUGGACCUUUCAGGUUAAAGCCAAGGUCAGGCAUCUUUGGUCCUUUGAUGGUGGGCAUCUUAAUUUUGAGUCCUUUGACAUUUACAUCAGGGCCUUCAAUGUCAAUCUCUGGUUUGUCGAUGUCAAUGUUGGGUCCUUUCACAUCAAUGUUUGCUUUGGGAAGGUUUACGUCAACAUCUGGCAUUUCAGAUUUGGGACCUUUCAAUCCAAUUGAUGGCAGGUUGAUAUUGGGCAUUUGUAAUCCACCUGUUGAAUCUUUCAAAUCCAACUUUGGGCCCUUGAUGUCAGCAUCAAAUCCCUUCAUCUCACCCUUCAUCUUUGGAGCCGUCACUUCCAUAUCACCUUUGAGUUUGGUGCCCUUCACACCAAAGUCCACGUCUGGCAUUGAGAUCUUUGGCCCCGAGAUGUGUGGCACGUUGAAUUUUGGUCCCUUGAUUUUGCCACCAGGACUUUUAAUGUCAACUUCCGGACCCUCAACAUCUAAUUCAGGUGCCUUGAUGUUGAUGUCAGCUUCUGGGAGUUCAACAUCUGUGUCCGUGACAUUUGGGCCCUUCAUCCCAAAUGAUGGCAUUGUAAUCUUUGGCAUUUUGAACCCUCCUGUAGAACCCUCAAUGUUCAUAUCUGGACCCUCAACAUCUAUUUCAGGUGCCUUGAUAUCAAUGUCACCUUCUGGGAGUUCAACAUCCUUGCCUGUUUUCGUCCCAAAUGAUGGAAUUUUAAACUUUGGCAUUUUGAACCCUCCUGAAGAACCCUCAAUGUUCAUAUCUGGACCCUCAAUGUCUAUUUCAGGUGCCUUGAUAUCAAUGUCACCUUCUGGGAGUUCAAUAUCCUUGCCUGUUUUUGUUCCAAAUGAUGGAAUUUUAAACUUUGGCAUUUUGAACCCUCCUUUGGAAGUGUCAGUGUUGAUAUCUGGACCUUCAAUAUCAACGUCUGGAGCUUUGAUAUCACCUUCAAUCUUUGGAAGUGAGACAUCUACAUCACCCUCGACUUUUGGACCUUUCAGGUUAAAGCCAAGGUCAGGCAUCUUUGGUCCUUUGAUGGUGGGCAUCUUAAUUUUGGGUCCUUUGACAUUUACAUCAGGGCCUUCAAUGUCAAUCUCUGGUUUGUCGAUGUCAAUGUUGGGUGCUUUCACGUCAAUGUUUGCUUUGGGAAGGUUUACGUCAACAUCUGGCAUUUCAACUUUGGGACCUUUCAAUCCAAUUGAUGGCAUGUUGAUAGUUGGCAGAUGUAUUCCACCUUUUGGACCUGUCACAUCAACCUUUGGACCCUUGAUGUCAACAUCCAGUCCCUUCAUCUCACCCUCCAUCUUUGGAACCGUCACAUCCAUAUCACCUUUGAGUUUGGUGCCCUUCACACCAAAGUCCACGUCUGGCAUUGAGAUCUUUGGCCCCGAGAUGUGUGGCAUGUUGAAUUUUGGUCCCUUGAUUUUGCCACCAGGACUUUUAAUGUCAACUUCCGGACCCUCAACAUCUAAUUCAGGUGCCUUGAUGUUAAUGUCAGCUUCUGGGAGUUCAACAUCUGUGCCUGUGACAUUUGGGCCCUUUCUCCCAAAUGAUGGCAUUUUAAUCUUUGGCAUUUUGAACCCUCCUGAAGAACCCUCAAUGUUCAUAUCUGGACCCUCAAUGUCUAUUUCAGGUGCCUUGAUAUCAAUGUCACCUUCUGGGAGUUCAACAUCCUUGCCUGUUUUUGUCCCAAAUGAUGGAAUUUUAAACUUUGGCAUUUCGAACCCUCCUUUGGAAGUUUCAAUGUUGAUAUCUGGACCUUCAGUAACAAUGUCUGGAGCUUUGAUAUCACCUUCAAUCUUUGGAAGUGAGACAUCUACAUCACCCUCGACUUUUGGACCUUUCAUGUUAAAGCUACGGUCAGGCAUCUUUGGUCCUUUGAUGGUGGGCAUCUUAAUUUUGGACCCUUUUAUGUUUACAUCAGGCCUUUCAAUGUCAGUCUCUGGUUUUUUGAUGUCAAUGCUCGGUACUUUCACGUCAAUGUUCGGCUUUUUGAAGCCUGGACCUUCAAUGUCAACAUUUGGAUCUUUGAUAUCAACUUCAUAUUUUGGAAGUGAGACAUCAACAUCACCCUCGACUUUUGGACCUUUCAGGUGGAAGCCAACGUCAGACAUCUUUGGUCCUUUGAUGGUGGGCAUCUUAAUUUUGGGUCCUUUAAUAUUUACAUCAGGGCCAUCAAUGUCAAUCUCUGUUCCCUUAAUGUCCGUGCCAGGUAAUUUCACGUCAAUGUUUUCACUAGGUAUUUUUAUGCUCACAUCUGGAGCCUCUGCUUCUGAACUUUUGACUCCAAAUGAUGGUAUUUUAAUUUUAGGCAUUUCAAAUCCUCCUUUUGAACCUUUGAUCGUCACUUCAGGACCCUUGAUAUCCACGUCAGGUAUUUCUGUAUUGCCUUCCAGCUUCAGAACUGCAUCCUUAUCACCUUUGAGUUUGGAGCCUGUCAAAUUCAAGUCCUUAUCAGGCAAGGAAAUAUUUGGCCCUGAAAAUUUUGGUAUGUUGAAUUUUCCCCCCUUUAAUUUUGCAUCGCGGCCUUCAAUUUCAGGUGUUUUCAUGUCAAUAUCUCCUUUUUGGAGAUUUACAUCAAUGUCUGGACCUCUUACAUCACCCUCAUGUUUUGGACCUUUGAGUUUGAUGUCAGUCUCUGGCAACUUUGGUCCUUCCAUUGUUGGCAUCUUAAUUUUGGGUCCUUUGAGUUUUGCAUCAGGACUUUCAAUGUCAACAUCUGGUACCUUUGUGUCAGCACCACGUGCGUUCACAUCAAUGUUUACUUUUGGCAAGUUUGUGCUUACAUCUGAGCCUUCAACUUUGGAGCCUUUCAUGUUUAAUGAUGACAUUGUAACUUUUGGCAUUUUGAACCCUCCUUUGGAACUUAUGUCAUCAUUUGCUCCUUUAAUAUCCACCCCUGGAGGUUGUAUGUUUCCUUCAAUUUUUGAUGUUUUCAUGCCAAUGCUUGGUUUAGAGAGAUUUAUGUCAACAUUUGGACUUUCAAUAUUGACCUCAGAACCCCGUAUGCUGACCUCUGGGGCUUUAAUAUCACUCACUAUUUUUGAAAUCGAAAGAUCAGUAUCACUUUUCAGUUUUGAGCCUGUGAUAUUUAGGUCUGGCAUGGAUAUUUUUGGUGUUGUGAAUUUUGACCCUGUUAGCUUUACAUCAGGGCCUUCAAAUUCUGCCACUUCACGCGGCUGA
ensembl:lncRNA